rnacentral:sRNA from 12 species
GGCUCCGAGGGACGGCGGUAGCAGUAAUGCCCGCGAGGUUUGCAUUUAGACCUUGACACCCCUAUCGGAGCCUA